rnacentral:rRNA from 1 species
UACGUAGGGGGCGAGCGUUGUCCGGAGUUACUGGGCGUAAAGCGCUUGUAGGCGGUCCACCAAGUUUGGGGUGACAGUUGCCGACUUAAUCGGCAAAGUGCCUCAAAGACUGGCGGACUUGAGGGCCACAGAGGGACAUGGAACUCCAGGUGUAGUGGUGAAAUGCGUAGAUAUCUGGAAGAACACCAAAGGCGAAGGCAGUGUCCUGGCCUGCGACUGACGCUGUGGCGCGAAAGCUAGGGGAGCGAACGGG